rnacentral:rRNA from 1 species
CCUACGGGUGGCAGCAGUGGGGAAUAUUGCACAAUGGGGGAAACCCUGAUGCAGCAACGCCGCGUGAGUGAUGACGGCCCUCGGUAUGUAAAGCUCUGUCUGCAGGGACGAUAAUGACGGUACCUGAGGAAGAAGCCCCGGCUAACUACGUGCCAGCAGCCGCGGUAAUACGUAGGGGGCGAGCGUUGUCCGGAUUUACUGGGUGUAAAGGGAGCGUAGACGGAAUUAUAAGUGGGAAGUGAAAUACCGGGGCUUAACUUGGGAGCUGCAUUUGAAACUGGACGGCUAGAGUGCAGGAGGGGUGAAUGGAAUUCCUAGUGUAGCGGUGAAAUGCGGAGAGAUUAGGAAGAACACCGGUGGCGAAGGCGAUUCACUGGACUGUAACUGACGCUGAGGCUCGAAAGCGUGGGGAGCAAACAGGAUUAGAUACCCCGGUAGUC